rnacentral:pre_miRNA from 1 species
GGCCCAAAUUUGAAGCAGAGUAGAUUUGGAGGAUAAUCUGACCCUGCUAAACUAGUCUACUUCGAGUUCGUGCCC